rnacentral:rRNA from 1 species
UACGAGGGGGGCAAAUGUUGUUCGGAAUCACUGGGCGUAAAGGGCUCGUAGGCGGUUUGUCACGUCGGGAGUGAAAACUCAGGGCUUAACCCUGAGCCUGCUUCCGAUACGGGCAGACUAGAGGUAUGCAGGGGAGAAUGGAAUUCCUGGUGUAGCGGUGAAAUGCGCAGAUAUCAGGAGGAACACCGGUGGCGAAGGCGGUUCUCUGGGCAUUACCUGACGCUGAGGAGCGAAAGUGUGGGGAGCGAACAGG